rnacentral:pre_miRNA from 1 species
UCUUACGGAUAAGCAAAGAAAGUGGUUCCUUGAGAUGGAAUUUACUCUUGGUGAAGACACUGUGAA